UACGUAGGUGACAAGCGUUUGUCCGGAUUUACUGGGCGUAAAGAGCGCGCAGGCGGUCGAUCAAGUCGAGUGUGAAAGCCCCCCGGCUCAACUGGGGAGGGUCAUUCGAUACUGAUCGACUCGAAGGCAGGAGAGGGUAGUGGAAUUCCCGGUGUAGUGGUGAAAUGCGUAGAUAUCGGGGAGGAACACCAGUGGCGAAGGCGACUAUCUGGGCUGCAACUGACGCUGAGGCGCGAAGGCUAGGGUAGCAAACAGG
rnacentral:rRNA from 1 species